CCAAGGUGUGAGACGUAAAGCUCUUGAUAGGAUGUUCCAAGAGUAUCUUUUCUAUUAACAGCUCAGAUGUGAAGGUAGAGGGAGGGUGAAUGAUAGAAAGGAUGGGUGUGUGUAACAGGGGAGGGACCAUGCACUGAUGCACAGCCCCACUACAGUAUAGUGGCAGUGCUAUCUCUCCCAGCCGUGCUGCAUCCUGUCAACCGUCACUGGGAAGCAACUGGGACUCCUCCAGGGCUAACCGGCGGCGUGCUGGCUCAUCAAGCACACACUGCCAAGGGCUCGGACUCACUUUGGUGACCUACUUCCAACAGAAGACUUUCCCGCCCCCUGCAAAGCUCUAUUGAACUGGACUUGCAGCUCUAUGCUGAAAACGUGCAUGCAUGCUUUGGAGCAGAGGAGCGUCAAGCAGAGGAAAACAAACUUAAAAAGCGUGGGAGGAUUUUCUGGGCAAAAAAAGCCCUCAAUGACGUGGUACAGGAAGUGAAUACUGUGGAAGCGUCCACUGAGCCCUUCUCUCCGCUUGACUAUGGAGCACGAACUGAGGAUGGGCCUGUCGGUGUGGGCCAUCGCCGCCAUUGUAUGCAACUCCGCCGUGGGCGUGCUCAUCCUCAUCCUUUUCUUGGUCCUCUACAAGGCCUGCAAAGUGCCGUCAAAACACCCGCAAGUGCCUGUUUUUACGCCAGAGACGGAAAAGAAAAAGACUGAGCAGAAGUAUCUUCUAGCAGCCUGAUCAUGACAAAUGAAGGAACAGCGCAACACUGGAUGGUUUAGAAGUUGAAGGCAAGUAAAAAACUUCUAUCUUGCUCCCCUUUUUAGUCUCUGUUGUCUUCCCUGUGUGCACAUGACUCCAGGCCAUCUCCUCUAUGCAGCAGCUUUGUGUGCAAAGAGUUGAAGCAAGACCAAGAGCAACAACAAGCUGGCCGAAUCCUCUUAUCUCUGCUGCGCGUCUCUGGGACUGUCCAUCUGUCAAUCUGUUUGCUCUGCUCCACACAAGCGGACCAUGAUAUCCUCCACUAAUUUCAAGAGUGCCUAAUGGGUGGAAACAACGGCCUGGAGUAGGCAGCAUUGGAUCUGAGGCAGGUGAAGAGGAAAAUUGUGCAGAAGAAUAUGCAUCACUAAUGAUGUGGACAGAGAAGCGUGGAGGGGUUGAGGGCAGAUUUGCUUGGGAUUACAAUGCAGUGGUAAAGUAGUUUUAUAGAGAGGAGCUCUGUUUCUCACUAUCCAAACACCGUUGUGAUGAAUUGUAGAAACAAGUAAUAUUGUGCCUUUCUUUUUUCUCGCAGUAUAAAUCCAGUAUUAUGCAGUAUUAUCAAGCAAUAAUAAUAUUUUUAUGUGUAUCAGUGAAGACAUGCCUAUCAUAGUUUACAUCCAUGUAUUAAUAUGGUUGGAAAAUCUACGUAAAGUUAAUGUAUAAUGUUUAUCACUGGAUUAUUUUCGCUGUAAUACACUCCAGAAAAAUGGUCGCAACACAUUCCACAAAUAUGGCUGACGUACUCCACAUUAGUGCCCAGUAUUUGUUGCAAUAAAAGCAAUGGAAUGUU